rnacentral:lncRNA from 1 species
CCUCUAAAUAAGCCAAAUUAUAAAAACUGCAAAGCAGCAGCAACAUAAUCUGUAUAAGGGCCAGAAAAAGAACCAGUUAACAAGUGAAAGGAAAACUUUUUUGCUAAGUUUCAUAAAAUUAGCAGGAAGGAGUGGUGUUGAUCUCCUUAGGAGAGUGUUCCAGAACUCAGGGGCUUCUAAGGCCUUGCUUCCAGUGAAAGCUUGGUCUCCUUAUCAGUUGGGUGGGGGGGUUGCCACGGUGACAAGGACCUGCCCUCCUUUGUGACAUCUCUUGCUUCUCUCUUAAAAGCCACUGACUUGCAGGUGGCCAUUGUGGGUUAGUAGUGAGGCAAGUGGAGGAGAGGAGUUCGUGGCGGUUGGAGAAGAGAAGGAGAGGUGUUCAUUUGAUUGUUAUUUAUUACUUUUAUUUGAUUCAUUUGAAUUUAUUAUUUUUUGUUUUAUUUAUUAUUUUACUUUUUAUUUUAACGCUUUAUUUUACUUAUUUUAUUUUUUGUUCUUUAUUUUCAUAUUUUUUAUUUUACAUUUUUAUUUUGUGCACAUAUUUUGUAUAUAUUUAUUUUGUGCAUAGAGGAGUAGUUAGGGGUAAGUGUAGGAUUAGGGCGGGGGUUAGGGUUAGGCUUAGAGCUGGGUUUGGGGCCAGAGUUAGGCUUGGGUGGGCAUUUUAGAUAGUUAGCUAGUUUAGAGAAGAGGGUGGGAAUUUUGUGUGAACAAAAUGUGCAGACUGUAAGUAGCAUUCCUUUGCUUUCUCUUGGUCUCCUGGGGGCGGGGUGUGAGUCCUGGGGUCCCCUGCACAGCCUUAGCUCUCUGGAAAUCGACAUGGCCAGUCUUCUCCAGAGAGCUCAGCUCCUCCACACUGUCCCCUCUCAUCAUUUACUGUAUUUUUCGCUCCAUAAGAUGCACCUGACCAUAAGACGCAUCUAGUUUUUAGAGGGGGAAUACAAGAAAAAAAUUAUUUAAAGGGAACGCUGAGCAGAGUCUGUAUGCAUCCCAGGUUCUGCUCAGUGCUCCCUUUCACGAGCCGCGUGGAGCGUGCUUGCGGCUCUUAGGGACUUUUCCCCGAGGAGGGGGAAGGGACUGACAGGCUGCGUUCAGCUCUUGCGGGCUUUUCUACGAGGUGGGAGAAGGACAGCCCAUCAGUGAUGGGCUUUUCCCGCCUGCCUCCCGCCUGCAUUCGCUCCAUAAGACGCACACACAUUUCCCCUUACUUUUUAGGAGGGAAAAAGUGUGUCUUAUGGAGCGAAAAAUACGGUACAUUUACUAGGACAUUCCUAGCCCAUUUUCCUCCCAGGAGCUCAAGGUGGCUGUUAAGUUGUGGGUGAACAUAUCAGACGACACAGCUAUUCUUCAAACAGCUCUUCGUUAUUCAGAGUCAGAACAGAACUAACUGAGGAGCUCAGUCAGCCUGCUUAUAUAGAGCUCCAGAACAAUGUAACAGUUGCCAUUUUCUAAAACUAUCCAAUCACUGAACGUCACUUUCGAUCCUUCAUUUGCAUAACUAUCUACAGUAUCCCCCUUCUGGCCCAGUACAUAACAGUGGCCUCCAUGGUUCUCCCUGCCACCAAUUGUUAUCUUCACAGCUGAGUGGGGAUUUGAACCCUGCUCUCCCAGGUCCUCCCGGAAGAAGCUGACUUUCCUCCUCUGCUCUCUUCCAGGAAAUCCGUGACCACUUGGAGCGCUUCAGGGAUCGCCUCUUGAGCCUGGCCCUGGCCUUCGAGACCCUUCUCCGGCUGAUGUGAAUGUGGUCUUUGGGGUGGGUGGAGUUGCGGGGGGUGGGGUGGGGAGCAGAACUCCAGGGGGAGCUCCGGGUGGGCAAGAGCAGGCAGGAGGGAAAAGAGGGCAAAGGAGACUUGGAGGAGGCAGCGUCUAACCCCUUCCCUUUCUCUCUCCAGUUUCAUGAGACCCCAUUUCAGCUGCGCUAUGGUCAGUGCUAUUCUGCAUAGGACAAUGGAGGCUGUUCUUGGGGGCGCAGAAAAGGAGGAGGACAAAGAGGUAUGUCCUCUGCUUUGACUUCCCUUUGCACAGCUCUUUCUUCUUCUCACACCCUUGCAAGAUUUAACCCAGCACUCAACCAGGAACUGAAGCGGCCAUUCCAGAGCCUGCUGGGGGUUCUCCUCACUUUGUGACAUUUUGUCACCCCCCUCAGUGAUGACACCCAGUGUGAUCUGCACCCACUGCACCCCACUUCCUAUGCCUCUGCUCCUUAUAAAAUGAAAUUCAGAGCAGGACCUCAUCAGACAAACUUAAGUGUUGCGGG